rnacentral:rRNA from 1 species
CAGUAGCCGCGGUAAUACGGGGGGGGCAAGUGUUAUUCGGAAUGACUGGGCGUAAAGGGCACGUAGGCGGUGAAAAGGGUGGAAAGUGAAAGUCGCCAAAACACUGGCGGGGUGCUUUCUUGACCAUUUCACUUGAGUGAGAUAGGGGAGAGUGGAAUUUCGUGUGGAGGGAUCAAAUCCUAAGAUAUACGAAGGAACGCCAACCGCGAAGGCAGCUCUCUGGGUCCCCACUUACGCUGGGGUGCGAAAGCAUGGGGAGCAAACAGGAUCAGAUACCCCCGUAGUCCCUGUCUCUUAUACA